rnacentral:rRNA from 1 species
GGGGAAUAUUGGACAAUGGGCGAAAGCCUGAUCCAGCCAUGCCGCGUGUGUGAAGAAGGCCUUUUGGUUGUAAAGCACUUUAAGUGGGGAGGAAAAGCUUGUGGUUAAUACCCAUAAGCCCUGACGUUACCCACAGAAUAAGCACCGGCUAACUCUGUGCCAGCAGCCGCGGUAAUACAGAGGGUGCAAGCGUUAAUCGGAAUUACUGGGCGUAAAGCGCGCGUAGGUGGUUAUUUAAGUCAGAUGUGAAGGCCCCGGGCUUAACCUGGGAACUGCAUCUGAUACUGGAUAACUAGAGUAGGUGAGAGGGGAGUAGAAUUCCAGGUGUAGCGGUGAAAUGCGUAGAGAUCUGGAGGAAUACCGAUGGCGAAGGCAGCUCCCUGGCAUCAUACUGACACUGAGGUGCGAAAGCGUGGGUAGCAAACAGGAUUAGAUACCCUGGUAGUCCACGCCGUAAACGAUGUCUACCAGUCGUUGGGUCUUUUAAAGACUUAGUGACGCAGUUAACGCAAUAAGUAGACCGCCUGGGGAGUACGGCCGCAAGGUUA